rnacentral:rRNA from 1 species
ACUCCUACGGGAGGCAGCAGUUAGGAAUAUUCGGCAAUGGGGGAAACCCUGACCGAGCGACACUGCGUGAAGGAGGAAGGCCUUAGGGUUGUAAACUUCUGAACGAGAGACGAUAAUGACGGUAUCUCGGUAAUAGCACCGGCUAACUCCGUGCCAGCAGCCGCGGUAAUACGGAGGGUGCGAGCGUUAUCCGGAAUCACUGGGCGUAAAGGGCGCGUAGGCGGUUACAUAAGUCCGAUGUUAAAGCGUAGGGCUCAACCCUAUAAAGGCGUUGGAUACUGUGAAACUAGACUUCUGGAGAGGUAAGUGGAAUUACCAGAGUAGCGGUGAAAUGCGUAGAUACUGGUAGGAACACCCAUAGCGAAGGCAGCUUACUGGACAGAGAGUGACGCUGAGGCGCGAAAGUGUGGGGAGCAAACCCGGAUUAGAUACCCUGGUAGACAUCA